CAAUACCUAGUGGCGGACGGGUGAGUAACGCGUGGGAAUCUGCCUUUAGAUGGGGGAUAACGGGUCGAAAGACUCGCUAAUACCGCAUAUGACGAAAGUUGAAAGGAGUAAUCCGUCUAAAGAUGAGCCCGCGUCCGAUUAGCUAGUUGGUAGAGUAAAAGCCUACCAAGGCGACGAUCGGUAGCUGGUCUGAGAGGAUGAUCAGCCACAAUGGGACUGAGACACGGCCCAUACUCCUACGGGAGGCAGCAGUGGGGAAUUUUACGCAAUGGGCGAAAGCCUGACGUAGCGACACCGCGUGAGCGAAGAAGCCCCUUGGGGUGUAAAGCUCUGUCAGCUGGAACGAAAAAAAUGACGGUACCAGCAGAGGAAGCAUCGGCUAACUACGUGCCAGCAGCCGCGGUAAGACGUAGGAUGCAAGCGUUGUCCGGAUUUAUUGGGCGUAAAGAGUUCGUAGGUGGUUUGUUAAGUUUGGUGUUAAAGAUUGGGGCUCAACCCUGAAACUGCACUGAAUACUGGCAGACUCGAGUGUGGUAGAGGCUAGUGGAAUUCCCAGUGUAGCGGUGAAAUGCGUAGAUAUUGGGAAGAACACCGGUGGCGUAGGCGACUAGCUGGGCCAUAACUGACACUGAGGAACGAAAGCCAGGGGAGCGAAUGGGAUUAGAUACCCCAGUAGUCCUGGCCGUAAACGAUGGAUACUAGGCGUAUCGGGUAUCGACCCCUGAUGUGCCGCAGCUAACGCGAUAAGUAU
rnacentral:rRNA from 1 species